rnacentral:rRNA from 1 species
UACGGAGGGUGCGAGCGUUAUCCGGAUUCACUGGGUUUAAAGGGUGCGUAGGUGGGAAUGUAAGUCAGUGGUGAAAUCUCCGUGCUUAACACGGAAACUGCCAUUGAUACUAUGUUUCUUGAAUUUUUCUGGAGGUUAGCGGAAUAUGUCAUGUAGCGGUGAAAUGCUUAGAUAUGACAUAGAACACCGAUUGCGAAGGCAGCUAACUACAGGGAUAUUGACACUGAGGCACGAAAGCGUGGGGAUCAAACAGG